rnacentral:rRNA from 1 species
GAUGAACGCUAGCUACAGGCUUAACACAUGCAAGUCGAGGGACCGGCGCACGGGUGAGUAACACGUAUCCAACCUGCCCUUUACUCGGGGAUAGCCUUUCGAAAGAAAGAUUAAUACCCGCUAUAAAGGAUGGGGAUGCGUUGCAUUAGGUUGUUGGUGAGGUACCGGCUCACCAAGCCUUCGAUGGAUAGGUGUUGUGAGAGGAAGGAAACCCACAUUGGAACUGAGGCACGGUCCAAACUCCUACGAGAGGCAGCAGUGAGGAAUAGUGGUGAAUGGGCGCUAUCCAGAACCAGCCAAGUAGCGGGAAGGAUGAAUGCUUAUGAGUCUUAAACUUCUUUUAAAUAAGAAUAUGUAUUAAAUGAAUAAGGAUCGGCUAACUCCGUGCCAGCAGCCGCGGUAAUAC